rnacentral:rRNA from 1 species
UACGUAGGGAGCAAGCGUUGUCCGGAAUCAUUGGGCGUAAAGCGCGCGUAGGUGGCUUCGUAAGUCCGUUGUGAAAGUCAAAGGCUCAACCUUUGAAAGCCGAUGGAUACUGCGGAGCUAGAGUACGGAAGAGGCGAGUGGAAUUCCUGGUGUAGCGGUGAAAUGCGCAGAUAUCAGGAGGAACACCAAUGGCGAAGGCAGCUCGCUGGAACGGUACUGACGCUGAGGCGCGAAAGCGUGGGGAGCGAAUGGG